rnacentral:lncRNA from 1 species
AUAAAAACGAACUUUAAAAGUUACAACUAUUUACAGACACAUGUAUGUACAUACGAGUAUGUGUAUGUUAUGUUAAAAGAGCAAACAAGAAAAACUCGAAGAAAUGUUACAGCAAGUCCCUCCCAAUCCUCCCUCCCACCCCCCAGUAACUAAAAGUUUUAGACUGAAGCGUGAGUAUUUGUUAGGAGAGAUCUAACUGCCCACAAAACGAGAAUUCUGUUAAAGUUUUUUGUGGGCGGGGCUCCAAUUCACACACACACAUAACAAAAGGAAUAAUAAAGAAUUCAU